AGGGAUGCAGGACAGGGGCAACCUUGGAGAUCCCUGUGGCUUUCCUUCAGCACGUCUCCUUCUCGAGGUCUCUCCUUGAGGACUGAGAGAGAAUUCACUUUCACGUACGUGAGUGCAAGGAAGACCCUCUUCAGAGUUUUCUCCUUUUCCUUGAUUGAUUUUGCCAGAAAACAGACGUCCCUUUAUAGAAGCCAGUCGAUCGCCCUAGAGUCAUCACCCUGCCUGCUGGCUGGGCAGGGUAACUCCUCAGGUCGCCACCCUCUCCAGCCUGCCUUGGGCUUGGAGAGUGAGGAGGAGAGCGAGGGACAUCUGCUGACCCUGAACAUCCGCCAUCCAUCAGACCAUAUCCUAGAGCAAAUGACCCUGGAAGGGGAGAAGUUUGGAAGUGACUGGGCUGGAGGACCAAGUCAGGAGAGGAGGCAGCUGCCACCCCAAGAAGGAGAGAGUUGUUUGCAAAGUUAGCCCUUGCAAUGCACCAAAUGUAAAUAUGGCUGCUUGGAGCUUUCCUCUAUUGGUCCUUACUGAAUACAGUCAAGUCACGAUCACUGGCCCUAGAGCAACGGUUAACAUGCAGGCCAGUGAUCAAUUCAUCUUUACCCACCAAAAUGAGACCCACAAUAGAGGCUUAGAAAAGUAUCUGUCAUUUUUUUAAAUCUUCAAGGAUGAUUUACUAAUGGCUACUUGAGACCUCACCCAUCUGUCUCCAAAUAGGAUGUCCCCCACGCAAACCCAAUUGUCUUCCCACAAGCCACAAACAUGUGCUAAAGGAGAAACUGAACCUUCUCUGGUUUGGAUUCAGUGAACUGUACCAGCCCCCCAUUUAUUCUUCUGCUAGGUCAUGUUAGUUAGCAGGUUGAGCCCUGUUCAUUUGAGGUCCUGGGGUUCUCUAGAACCAAGAACUUUCAACAGGUAAUGGCGUGUCUAAUGUGAAGUGCCUCCAAGCCCACCACUGUUAUCAUCUCUCCCCUUCCUAGUCGGGUUGUAACCAGUGACACUAACAUUCCAGUAAUACACAUCGUCCCACCAGGUUUCCCUGUUCUAUCCACUUUCCCGUCCUCAAUGAGAAUUUCCAGCUUCUCUUCCUUCUUGCCUAGACUCCCGUGCUAAAAGCAGCGUUACUUCCCUUCACGCUUCCAGUGAGUAUCUUGCAGGGUAUGUACACUGCAGCACAGCAUUCCCCUGAGCGCACACUUGUGUUACUGCAGGAGGGUUAUCGGUGGAGGCAGUGUGUGGGGAAGGAGGCAUCUAAUGUCACAUCCUCCACCCUCCCCGCGAGUUGCUGCUAGGUUUGUACUCAGCAUGAGUGUUUUUGAGUGGGUUCUAAAACAUGCUCAUAUCCCUAACUUAAAUUAGUCCUUUGUGUGAUGUUGCUCAACUUAGUAUGUAACACAGAGGUCAGCUCUACACAUCAAUUUGAAAAGUUAUGCCUUAGGAGUAAUGGAUAAAUAACAGGAGUUAAGAUCUUCAAAAAGCUAAGCAACAAGCAUGAUGACCAUAGAAUAGUCACAUGGAGCAUGCUCAGUAACACUGCUGAAGCCAGCUGCCCUCACUCUGUCCCCCACCUCCCAUCCCCACUAUCGGCAGGCACAGGUCAUCACUGGUUAUCUGGAAGCCAGGAAGAGACUCCUACUCAUGCGUCACAUUCUUCCCUCCAUUUAAAGGUGCCAUGGGAGAAAGACAACAUGUCCCAAUGCAGGGGCAGUAGGUUUGAAUAAUUUUUGGUGGUGCCCAGAACAGAUCCAAGUCCUGCCACACCCCCAGCCUUGUAAGUCAAUAUACAGUAACUCCUCACUUAAAGUCAUCCCGACUAACAUUGUUUUGUUGUUAAGGUGAUGAUCAAUGAGAGCAGUGGCUCUCAGACUUUUUUUUU